CACAGGAGGGCGCAACACAUGUAAGUUCACUUCAAAAGUCAGAUGAUUGAAACGGGCCCUCUUGUGGUGAUUUCUGUGAAUUGCACCGCUGCAAAAAAAGUCAAACUAAUUCUCUUCAGCUCCACAGAGCUCGUAUCCACGUGUAUAUGAAUGAAGUAACUCAGGCUGUGUAGAAGAUGGUCACAGCAUCUGUGGGAUUUAAACACGCUUCUGUUGACGUUUAAUGAUUGAAAGUCUCAAAUGUGACGUUGACGCUUGAAUGCGAAGAGCAGCAGAAUGACAGAAACUGAAGUGCGGGUUUUCAUCCGCUCCACUAGGCGGCGCAAGCGGGUUUCGCCUUCAGUCGGACGCCUUCAGCUGCUGGACAACAUGACGCUCUAGAGUCACAACAACAACACGUGCAGAUCCUGCAGAUGACAGCUGUUUAUAUCACUUUAACAACACACGCUUCAGCUCAACUGCAAAUAAAAUCGACACAAAAUCCGACGAGACGCUGGAAUCGAGUGUCACGCGACUCACCUAAUAAGUGAUGUCUUGUUGGCUGUAAACUGGUCCGGCUGAAGCAGAGCUCUGGGACGUGUGGACAGACAUUGACUGUAAUGAUGGACAUCUGCUCAGGGACAGUCUGUGCAAAAGUAUAACCACUGCGGGUCACGGUGCUGGAAGCUCCAGGGGGAGACCGUACUGAUAUCCCCCUUCUUCAGGCACGCCUUCACACACACGCCAGCAUUCACUCGUAUCGCAGAGACCUGGCUGGGAUCAAACCAGCAACCUCUGAACCGUGAGGCAGCGCUCUUACCUGUGAGCCACAGAUCUCUUG